UGAUGGUCAAUUGGGUNUUUAGGCUAUU
rnacentral:piRNA from 1 species